CCUACGGGAGGCAGCAGUGGGGAAUAUUGCACAAUGGGGGAAACCCUGAUGCAGCGACGCCGCGUGAGUGAAGAAGUAAUUCGUUAUGUAAAGCUCUAUCAGCAGGGAAGAAAAUGACGGUACCUGAGUAAGAAGCCGCGGCUAAUUACGUGCCAGCAGCCGCGGUAAUACGGAGGGGGCAAGCGUUAUCCGGAUUUACUGGGGGGAAAGGGAGCGUAGACGGCAGUGCAAGUCUGGAGUGAAAGGCGGGGGCUCAACCCCCGGACUGCUCUGGAAACUGUACGUCUGGAGUGCAGGAGAGGUAAGUGGAAUUCCUGGUGUAGCGGUGAAAUGCGUAGAUAUUAGGAGGAACACCAGUGGCGAAGGCGGCUUACUGGACUGUAACUGACGUUGAGGCUCGAAAGCGUGGGGAGCAAACAGGAUUAGAUACCCCAGUAGUC
rnacentral:rRNA from 1 species